CACUGCACCAAGCAGGCAGGCAGGCAGAAGCAGGCACCACCAACCAAUCUCCUCGUCUCCCACUCGGCUACCCACAUCCCCCGGAGCUCCACAAAAAUCUCCGCUCCCAGGCUCCCACCCGCGCGGAGGGGGCAAGCAGCCAGCAGCCGCGCGGCGCCACUGCCUUGCCCUCAACCCCUCACCCAAACGCCUCGCUUUGGCCGCCCCCCACAAGGCCACUCACCCAAAAAAUCUCCACUCCUCGACCGCACCGAGCAGAGGAUCACAUGGCAUCCGCCGUUUCGCUUCUCCUCUCGCCCCCGCGCCUGCUCCACCGCGACGGCACAUCCCGCCUCCUCAGCAUCCCGCACCGGCGGGUCCUCCUCGCCGCCCCCAACAACGCGACCCCUCGUCGGCUCCUGGCCCCCGCGCCGCGCGCCUCCAACAAAAACGACAACAGCGGGGCCGUGGAGGCGCCCGACCGCCUCGUGGCCGCGGUCGCCUACCUAUACCCGUUCCUCGACGGCGCGCACCACGGGCGCUUCCUUCUCACGCAGUUCCCCUUCUUCGGCGCGCUGCUCCGCCCGCUGGCCCCCGCGGCUCGGCUCUUCCACUCAUCGCCGCUCACGCCCUUCCUCCUCUUCCUCACGCUCUACUUCGCCGUUGUGCGGAACCAGCAGGCGUUCUCCCGCUUCGUCCGCUUCAACGCGAUGCAGGCCGUCGUGCUCGACGUGCUGCUCAUCUUUCCCGACCUGCUCGCGCAGUCGUUCGCGCCCUCCGGUGGGGUUGGGUUCGAGAUCUUCCAGAGCAUGGAGAGCACGGUCUUCCUCUUCCUGCUCGUCUCCUUGGUGUACGGCGGUGGCGCCUGCCUGCUCGGGAAGACACCACGUCUGCCCAUUGUCGCAGAUGCAGCGGAGCGCCAGGUGAUGUGACUACAAUUCGUUUCCUGCGGACCAUGUUGAUGGAAAGGGAAUCUGAUGAUAUGCAGAAAACAUCCCAAUGGUUCGUUGGCGCUUGCAGCAAAUCACAAGCUUAGUAUAAUUUACAAUUGCCUUGCUGUUUAUAUAGGUCUAGUUGCCGAUUGAAUGCAUGUACUGUGGAAGGUUGAUACAAAAACGUUGCAAUACUACCAUAUUUGUUGAAUUGACAAAUUUUGAGAGAGCAGUACAUGUACACUGUUUUACAAUCUGAAUUGCAUUUACAAAUGAGGAGGAAUGUCUGAAUUGGGGAGCUUUAUGACUACCCUCCCCUGAGCAGCUUCCUUUGUACCUGAAUGGAGGCUUAGGUCAGUAAUUGUGAUUUCAAUAUAAAUAAGAGCAUUCCAUCAA
rnacentral:misc_RNA from 1 species